rnacentral:rRNA from 1 species
GAUGAACGCUGGCGGCGUGCUUAACACAUGCAAGUCGAACGGUGAACGAGGGAGCUUGCUCCCUCCGGAUCAGUGGCGAACGGGUGAGUAACACGUGAGCAAUCUGCCCUGGACUCUGGGAUAAGCGUUGGAAACGACGUCUAAUACCGGAUACGAGGCGUGGGGGCAUCCCCAACGCCUGGAAAGAACUUCGGUCCAGGAUGAGCUCGCGGCCUAUCAGGUAGUUGGUGAGGUAAUGGCUCACCAAGCCUACGACGGGUAGCCGGCCUGUGAGGGUGACCGGCCACACUGGGACUGAGACACGGCCCAGACUCCUACGGGAGGCAGCAGUGGGGAAUAUUGCACAAUGGGCGAAAGCCUGAUGCAGCAACGCCGCGUGAGGGACGACGGCCUUCGGGUUGUAAACCUCUUUUAGCAGGGAAGAAGCGAAAGUGACGGUACCUGCAGAAAAAGCACCGGCUAACUACGUGCCAGCAGCCGCCGCGUAAGAC